CCUCAGCCCCUCCAUGUCUCUCAUUCACGUCCCUCAGCCCCCCCCAUGUGUCUCAUUCACGUCCCUCAGCCCCUCCAUGUCUCUCAUUCACGUUCCUCACCCCUCUAUGUGUCUCAUUCACAUCCCUCAGCCCCUCCAUGUGUCUCAUUCACGUCCCUCAGCCCCUCCAUGUGUCUCAUUCACGUCCCUCAGCCCCUCCAUGUGUCUCAUUCACAUCCCUCAGCCCCUCCAUGUGUCUCAUUCACGUCCC